GCCUGGGUGGCUCAGUAGGUGAGUAUCUGACUUCGGCUCAGGUCAUGAUCUCACCAUUCGUGAGUUCAAGCCCCGCAUCGGGCU
rnacentral:tRNA from 1 species